ACAUGCCUGUCAGUUGGAACAACCCAAAAAACUAGAUAAUUGCUUGAGAUUUUGACGAUUUAUGGUGAUUUUAUUUUCGAUAGAUCUUUGCCCAGAUUGACGGUAAUGCAUUAUAGAGGAGUGGAUCACUGAAGCAAGAUGGCGUCUCGAUUGACGCAUUCGUUCCAAUGAACAGCAGUAGUCAAGGCGACAUCUAGUGUAUAUAUCUAUGGUACGAGACGAG